rnacentral:misc_RNA from 1 species
CCAAACUUGGUCAUUUAGAGGAAGUAAAAGUCGUAACAAGGUUUCCGUAGGUGAACCUGCGGAAGGAUCAUUACCAUAUUUUAUCGGGGAGGCUUUGGAGGAGGGAACUCUCCCUCCCCCGCUGCCUCUGUCUGAUUCUGCCCAUGAUUUUUGCGUACUCCUUGUUUCCUCGGUAGGCUUGCCUGCCGGUAGGACCGUUUUUAAAACCAUUUGUAGUUGCAAUCAGCGUCAGAUCAAAACAAUAGUUACAACUUUCAACAACGGAUCUCUUGGUUCUGGCAUCGAUGAAGAACGCAGC